AUUUGUUUCCAUUCUUUAUAACCAACUUUGUCUACUUGAGGUAGGAGAGACUCGGAGGGUACUCAUCCUGAGUAAUCUCUAUGACUUUGCCACCAUUUCUGAAGCAAUGAUCUGCAGGUUUUUCUUGUCCAGCUACAGCUGAGACCCACAGGAGAGGCCAUGCAGUCCCAGGAGAGUGAUGGCCCUCUAAAGAGCACGUUUUUGGAAAUGUUAUACAGGCAGGUUUACCAGGCUGGCCAAGGCUAUGCUAUCUCUUCAGCUAUGCUGAAGGACCAGAGAUCCUUGGAGUUCGAAUAGAAGACAAACCAGAAAAUCUAAUUCCACUCAUGGGUAAAGAAUCAAGCCUACUCUUUCCCCCCUGUAGUUUUGCUGGGUACGUCUUUGCUCCAAUUUUGCUUUUUUAGAGAUUUCCUGAGCUCUUUUUUUUUUUUUUUUUUUAAUGGACAGAACAUGAGUGUUCAUAUGAUGUCUUGAUGUCUUAUCUACUGAUCAUGUUGCUUCUUUUCAUCUGUUAUCACACUGCAGAACUCUAGUACAAAUCUGCAAUGAAAUCUGCUUUGUAUUGUUUUCUCUUUUUCUACACACUAACUGUUCUCGGAUAUAUGGAUAUCUUCAAGAGGCAAGAAAUUACAAAAUGACCAGCUUCAUUAAACCUUGUGCAUUACUGCCUGCAUCUUAAGUUGAGGCUCUAUGUUCUGUGCUGACUAAUGCUUUGAUAAUACACAGAUUUCUGCAUUAAUUCUUUGUCCUUGUUGCAACACUGAACAAGUUCCCAUGUGCUAUUUGACACUCCUUUGAGCACAGACCCACUGCAGCACUGUGUCUCAGUGCCAUUAGUGCAUGCACUGAUGUCCCUGCUACCCAGUCAAGGGAGUUAAUUUUUCAUUGAAAACUACAAAUCUCUUGAUUUGGAUAAGACUUGGAUUAAUUUGUCAAACUAGACUUGCAGGGCAGGCUAUUAUCCUU
ensembl:lncRNA